rnacentral:rRNA from 1 species
GCAUAUCAAUAAGCGAGAGGAAAAGAAACUAACAAGGAUUCCCCUAGUAACUGCGAGUGAAGCGGGAAAAGCUCAAAUUUAAAAUCCGUCCCCCGACGGAGUUGUAAUCUAGAGAAGUGUUUUCGGCCGUUGACUUGGACAAGUCCCCUGGAACAGGGCGUCAUAGAGGGUGAUAAUCCCGUACUUACCAAGAUCCCAACGUCUAUGUGAUACACUCUCGAAGAGUCGAGUUGUUUGGGAAUGCAGCUCAAAAUGGGUGGUAAAUUCCAUCUAAAGCUAAAUAUUGGCGAGAGACCGAUAGCGAACAAGUACCGUGAGGGAAAGAUGAAAAGCACUUUGGAAAGAGAGUUAAACAGUACGUGAAAUUGCUAAAAGGGAAGCGCUUGAAGUCAGUCGCGUUUAAUGAGACUCAGCCUCACGGUGUAUUUCUCUUGAACGGGCCAACAUCGAUUUUGGGCGCGGGAAAAGGGUUUGGGGAAGGUGGCAACCUCGGUUGUGUUAUAGCCCCUUACCGUACACCGCGCCUGGGAUCGAGGACCGCGGCUUUGCCUAGGAUGUUGGCGUAAUGGCUUUAAGCGACCCGUCUUGAAACACGGACCAAGGAGUCUAACAUGUCUGCGAGUGUUUGGGUGUCAAACCCAUGCGCGUAAUGAAAGUAAAUGUAGGUGGGAGGCUUCGGCCGCACCAUCGACCGAUCCGGAUCUCUUGUGAUGGAUUUGAGUAAGAGCAUAUAUGUUGGGACCCGAAAGAUGGUGAACUAUGCCUGAAUAGGGCGAAGCCAGAGGAAACUCUGGUGGAGGCUCGUAGCGAUUCUGACGUGCAAAUCGAUCGUCAAAUUUGGGUAUAGGGGCGAAAGACUAAUCGAACCAUCUAGUAGCUGGGUUCCUGCCGAG